GACGAACGCUGGCGGCGUGCCUAACACAUGCAAGUCGAACGGAAAGGCCCUGCUUUUGUGGGGUGCUCGAGUAGCGAACGGGUGAGUAACACGUGAGUAACCUGCCCUUGACUUUGGGAUAACUUCAGGAAACUGAGGCUAAUACCGGAUAGGAGCUCCCGCUGUUUGGUGGGCGUUGGAAAGUUUCGGCGGUUGGGGAUGGACUCGCGGCUUAUCAGCUUGUUGGUGGGGUAGUGGCUUACCAAGGCUUUGCCGGGUAGCCGGCCUGAGAGGGUGACCGGCCACAGUGGGACUGAGAUAGGGCACAGACUCCAACGGGAGGAAGCAGUGGAGAAUAUUGCACAAUGGGCGGAAGCCUGAUGCAGCAACGCCGCGUGCGGGAUGACGGCCUUCGGGUUGUAAACCGCAUUCGCCUGUGACGAAGCGUGAGUGACGGUAAUGGGUAAAGAAGCACCGGCUAACUACGUG
rnacentral:rRNA from 1 species